GAUGAACGCUGGCGGCGUGCCUAAUACAUGCAAGUCGAGCGAACAGACGAGGAGCUUGCUCCUCUGACGUUAGCGGCGGACGGGUGAGUAACACGUGGAUAACCUACCUAUAAGACUGGGAUAACUUCGGGAAACCGGAUCUAAUACCGGAUAAUAUAUUGAACCGCAUGGUUCAAUAGUGAAAGACGGUUUUGCUGUCACUUAUAGAUGGAUCCGCGCCGCAUUAGCUAGUUGGUAAGGUAACGGCUUACCAAGGCAACGAUGCGUAGCCGACCUGAGAGGGUGAUCGGCCACACUGGAACUGAGACACGGUCCAGACUCCUACGGGAGGCAGCAGUGGGGAAUCUUCCGCAAUGGGCGAAAGCCUGACGGAGCAACGCCGCGUGAGUGAUGAAGGUCUUCGGAUCGUAAAGCUCUGUUAUUAGGGAAGAACAGAUGUGUGAGUAACUAUGCACGUCUUGACGGUACCUAAUCAGAAAGCAACGGCUAACUACGUG
rnacentral:rRNA from 1 species